rnacentral:rRNA from 1 species
GCCCUUGCAAUCCGCUUUGAGAUGGACCCGCGUCGCAUUAGCUAGUUGGUGAGGUAACGGCUCACCAAGGCGACGAUGCGUAGCCGACCUGAGAGGGUGAUCGGCCACAUUGGAACUGAGAUACGGCCCAGACUCCUACGGGAGGCAGCAGUGGGGAAUAUUGCACAAUGGGGGAAACCCUGAUGCAGCAACGCCGNGUGAGUGAUGAAGGCCUUCGGGUUGUAAAACUCUGUCUUUUGGGACGAUAAUGACGGUNCCAAAGGAGGAAGCCACGGCUAACUACGUGCCAGCAGCCGCGGUAAUACGUAGGUGGCAAGCGUUGUCCGGAUUUACUGGGCGUAAAGGAUGUGUAGGCGGAUGCUUAAGUCAGAUGUGAAAUCCCCGAGCUUAACUUGGGGGCUGCAUUUGAAACUGGGCAUCUAGAGUGCAGGAGAGGAAAGUGGAAUUCCUAGUGUAGCGGUGAAAUGCGUAGAGAUUAGGAAGAACAUCAGUGGCGAAGGCGACUUUCUGGACUGUAACUGACGCUGAGGCAUGAAAGCGUGGGGAGCAAACAGGAUUAGAUACCCUGGUAGUCCACGCCGUAAACGAUGAGUACUAGGUGUAGGAGGUAUCGACUCCUUCUGUGCCGCAGUUAACACAAUAAGUACUCCGCCUGGGAAGUACGGUC